rnacentral:tRNA from 1 species
UCUCUGGUGGCUCAGAAGGUGAAGAAUCGGCCUGCAAUGCAGAAGACCCAGGUUCAAUCCCUGGCCGGGAAG